GCGGACGCGGCCUCCCCUCCCUCGGCAGCGCGCGGCGUCGGGCGCAGUCCCGCCCCGCCCGGCAGCCCGAUCCACGCGAGCGCGGCCUCCCGCGCAGACUCCGCGCCGCCAGGGGGAGGCGGCGGCGGGAGGGUCCGUGCCCGGGAGCGCGCUCCGCACGCGCCCCGGCGCGCUGUGCUGCCUGCUGGGCGGGUCCCGGCGCUCCCGGCUCGGCUGGGCCCGGCGGGGCUCACCUGGAGAGCACCGAGUCCCGGCCCGCUGCGGACAGCAAGAGACGGGGCUGGGCUGCGCCGUCCUCCCCAGCCAGAGCCCGGAGGGCCAGGGAGGGGGCGAGGGACUCCGCUCCCGGGGGCAUCCGGCGGCAGGAGGGGCGCCGUGGGGGGUGGGGGGCUGCUGCUCCGAGGGCCCCGCCCCGCCCUGCCCCGCCUGCCGGGGUGAGGCACAGAGGGUGGCCAGAGAACAGGUGGCCCCGGAGGAUGCGCCCAGGGUGGAACGUGAGGGACACGGGGAGGGCGUCCCCUGAAGAGGCAGGGGGUCCCCCGAGGCCUCCCCGGCGCUCGAGCCCUGUCUCCGGGCUCCUGGCCAAGGAACGGCGGCCUCCAGCACCCAGGGGCCCGGGGUGCAGGCUGCCAUGGGGUCCCUAACCGGAAAGGGCCUGGCUGCAGACCCGCGGUCUGUAAAUGCUGGGACCGCUGAGGGUUUGCCCCCUGUACUGCAGGGAGCGAGUGGCCAGCAGGGGAUGCUGACCUGGGGGCUUCACUGCCCGGAACCCCUCCGGAAGCACGCGCUAUGGUGCACACCCGGCUGGCGGCCGGAGGAUAGGAGCAUAAUAAUGAGACUCUGGCUCGGUGACCUCCGCCCCACCCCUCCCCCCGUCGCCCCCGUUUCCUUGCUGUGUUUAUUUUCUUUCUGUCCCAGCGUCUCUGCCUACUCUGUACCUCUCUUCCCCUACCCCUCGGAGCGACCUCACGAAAUGGGCGCUACUCAACUCCCUUUGCUUUGCACCAGGCCUCUGGAGAGUGGCUGAGGAAAGGGGGCGCAGACCGGGAAGAACCAGGGUCUCUGGGUAGGAGCGGGGCUUUCAACUCCAGCGUUAGGCAGCCUAGUAGUCAAAUCCAUCGCUUUUCAAUUUUUAAUGAUUCAAAGGCAGCGGUUUCUCCCCGCACAGGGAUGCAGCAGCGCUGAAUUUGACAGAAGCCGGUGAUCCUCCCCCGGGAGGCUGGAAUCACAAUGGGCGCCCUGCAGAAAGGUGUCAUUGUCAUGCAUCUCGCCCAUAAUUUCAUUAGUGACUCCAGACCUCCGCCUAUGGUACACAGUUUUCCACCCUGUAUCUUUAGCAGAAAACGCUUAAAGGAUAAAAGAAGAUAAUAAACUUGAAAAGUUUCUUCAAUUUUGUGGAAAUGCAGCCUUCCACCAGGAGGAAAGAGAGAGACAUCUAUGGAAACCGUCCUUCUGGUGACAACUGGCUUGUUCUUUAAACACUACAAAACAUUGUCGGAGCCAGCAUUUUUUCAUAAAAAUCAGCUGUGUUAAGGAUCAGAUUCACCUCUGCAUAAUCUCCCUGCUCCCCACAGGCUACAGCCCUGCUGCCAGUGGCGGCCUGGGGUGGCCACAGAAGGGGGUUGCUAGGUUUCUCCCCUCAGUAAUGGGCGUGGGGGAGGGGCUGUGGAAGCAGGCUCGCUCCCAUGCAUGCCGGCUUCUGUGGUUGGUGUGCCCGCCGUUUUUACACCAAAUGCACAAGAUCUGGAAACACAGAGCCCUUGGCUGGGCAGAUCCUACGUUCCACUGACAGAUGAGUAAAGUAGACAGCCACCGAGGUGCUGCCAUUUUUAUCUGUGCCAGGAGAUGCACACUUCUAAAUCUGGUAUUUGGAAAAUCAAUAUGGAGUGAAUAUUACCCAGUAGUGGCAUUUUAUUUGUGAUGUGUGAAGUGACAGAAUAUAAUUCCUCAGGGCUCCUAGUAACCUGACGAAACAUGUCUCUGGUGCUGGCUUCAGCAGCAGCCGUGCUAUGAUUGGAAGCACACAGAGAACAGCAGCGUGGGCCCUGCGCAAGGAUUUCGGGCAAAUUCUUGAAGUGCUCCCUAUUUAAAAAGAAAUUUCCAUGAUAGCCAGGCAGUUGAAGGAUAUUUUGUGUACCACGUAGUGCUCUAUCAUGACAUUAUUAUAAAAGUAAUAGUAUUUCAACAUCGCAUGUCUUUAAAACUCAGAUAGGCAUUUGACCAAUCCUGUUCUAAAAUGGCUUAUAUUGUCUACAGUUGGAAUUUACAUACACUGACUUUCUUUCUUUUUAAGUCACAAAUCUUUAAACCUUUCACGACAGUGACCGUUGUUAAGCACGUGACAUUAUCAGAAUGACCAUAGCCCGACGGAGGGUUUUACACUUGAGCCGAGCUAGGUGAAGAUCGUGCAGGUAAAGUAGUGACUGCCUCAGUCCACUAAUUACUCUGCUGCUCAAACCCUGCUGCUCCACAGAGCUCAGUGUGUCUCUCCCCAAGAUGUCAUACGUGUUGGUGAAUUUAUCUUAUACUGACUGGACACUUGCAGAUUAACUUCUAGUUAGUUUAAACCAAAA